UUGAACGCUGGCGGAAUGCUUUACACAUGCAAGUCGAGCGGCAGCGCGGGGGCAACCCUGGCGGCGAGCGGCGAACGGGUGAGUAACACAUCGGAACGUACCCAGUUGUGGGGGAUAGCCCGGCGAAAGCCGGAUUAAUACCGCAUACGACCUGAGGGUGAAAGGGGGGGAUCGCAAGACCUCUCGCAGUUGGAGCGGCCGAUGGCGGAUUAGCUAGUUGGUGGGGUAAAGGCCUACCAAGGCGACGAUCCGUAGCUGGUCUGAGAGGACGACCAGCCACACUGGAACUGAGACACGGUCCAGACUCCUACGGGAGGCAGCAGUGGGGAAUUUUGGACAAUGGGGGCAACCCUGAUCCAGCCAUUCCGCGUGAGUGAAGAAGGCCUUCGGGUUGUGAACUGCUUUUGUACGGAACGAAAAGACUCCUUCUAAUAAAGGGGGUCCAUGACGGUACCGUAAGAAUAAGCACCGGCUAACUACGU
rnacentral:rRNA from 1 species